rnacentral:rRNA from 1 species
GUGAGGAAUAUUGGUCAAUGGGCGAAAGCCUGAACCAGCCAUGUCGCGUGAAGGAUGAAGGUCCUAUGGAUUGUAAACUUCUUUUGCAGGAGGGUAAAGUGAGCUACGUGUAGUUCAUUGCAAGUACCCUGCGAAUAAGCAUCGGCUAACUCCGUGCCAGCAGCCGCGGUAAUACGGAGGAUGCGAGCGUUAUCCGGAUUUAUUGGGUUUAAAGGGUGCGUAGGCGGACUAAUUAGUCAGCGGUGAAAUUUUGCGGCUCAACCGUAAAACUGCCGUUGAAACUGUUAGGCUUGAGUGCGGUAGAGGUAGGUGGAAUGUGUGGUGUAGCGGUGAAAUGCUUAGAUAUCACACAGAACACCGAUUGCGUAGGCAGCUUACUGGAGCGCAACUGACGCUGAGGCACGAAAGCGUGGGGAUCGAACAGGAUUAGAAACCCGAGUAGUCC